GUCCACACCGUAAACGAUGAUUACUAGAUUUGGCCUUAUGGUCAGAGUCCAAGCGAAAGUGUUAAGUAAUCCACCUGGGGAGUACGUCCGCAAGGAUGAAACUCAAAGGAAUUGACGGGGCCCGCACAAGCGGUGGAGCAUGUGGUUUAAUUCGAUGAUACGCGAGGAACCUUACCUGGGCUUGAAAGUUAGUGACCGCUCCUGAAAGGGAGCUUUCCGCAAAGGACACGAAACUAGGUGCUGCAUGGCUGUCGU
rnacentral:rRNA from 1 species